rnacentral:rRNA from 1 species
GUGAGGAAUAUUGGUCAAUGGACGCGAGUCUGAACCAGCCAAGUAGCGUGAAGGAUGACUGCCCUAUGGGUUGUAAACUUCUUUUAUAAGGGAAUAAAGUGAGGGACGUGUCCCUUUUUGUAUGUACCUUAUGAAUAAGGAUCGGCUAACUCCGUGCCAGCAGCCGCGGUAAUACGGAGGAUCCGAGCGUUAUCCGGAUUUAUUGGGUUUAAAGGGAGCGUAGGUUGACGUAUAAGUCAGCUGUGAAAGUUUACGGCUCAACCGUGAAAUUGCAGUUGAUACUGUAUGUCUUGAGUGUACAAGAGGUGGGCGGAAUUCGUGGUGUAGCGGUGAAAUGCUUAGAUAUCACGAAGAACUCCAAUUGCGAAGGCAGCUCACUGGGGUACAACUGACACUGAGGCUCGAAAGUGUGGGUAUCAAACAGGAUUAGAAACCCCGGUAGUCC